rnacentral:rRNA from 1 species
GACAGAGGGUGCAAACGUUGUUCGGAUUUACUGGGCGUAAAGCGCGUGUAGGCGGCUUUGCAAGUCGGAUGUGAAAGCCCACGGCUCAACCGUGGAAGUGCAUCCGAAACUGCAUGGCUCGAGUCCCGGAGAGGAAGGUGGAAUGCUUGGUGUAGAGGUGAAAUUCGUAGAUAUCAAGCAGAACACCUGCGGCGAAGGCGGCCUUCUGGACGGUGACUGACGCUGAGACGCGAAAGCGUGGGGAG